rnacentral:lncRNA from 12 species
GAACAGCUGGCAGUCACUGAAGUAAAAUGAAAGGCAUUGUUUUGCAAAAAAACUCAGUCUGUUUUAUUCCAGAGUUGGAGGUUCCUGCUCUGAAGAAGUGUGUUGAUUCUAGUCUAUUAACUGCAUAAGCUACAAGCCUCAUCAAAAGAGAAAAAUUCCUGUCUUAUUCCACCUUCAGCCUGAUCACAGCCCUUUUGGAAGUUUGUGGUCGUGCCUGUAUCUGAGGUACGCUGAG